rnacentral:rRNA from 1 species
AGAGUUUGAUCCUGGCUCAGAUUGAACGCUGGCGGCAGGCCUAACACAUGCAAGUCGAACGGUAGCACAGAGAGCUUGCUCUCGGGUGACGAGUGGCGGACGGGUGAGUAAUGUCUGGGAAACUGCCUGAUGGAGGGGGAUAACUACUGGAAACGGUAGCUAAUACCGCAUAACGUCGCAAGACCAAAGAGGGGGACCUUCGGGCCUUGCGCGAUUGGAUAUGCCCAGGUGGGAUUAGCUAGUUGGUGAGGUAAUGGCUCACCAAGGCGACGAUCCCUAGCUGGUCUGAGAGGAUGAUCAGCCACACUGGAACUGAGACACGGUCCAGACUCCUACGGGAGGCAGCAGUGGGGAAUAUUGCACAAUGGGGGAAACCCUGAUGCAGCCAUGCCGCGUGUAUGAAGAAGGCCUUCGGGUUGUAAAGUACUUUCAGCGAGGAGGAAGGUGUUGAGGUUAAUAACCUCAGCAAUUGACGUUACCCGCAGAAGAAGCACCGGCUAACUCCGUGCCAGCAGCCGCGGUAAUUC